rnacentral:rRNA from 1 species
UGGGGAAUCUUAGACAAUGGGCGCAAGCCUGAUCUAGCCAUGCCGCGCGGGUGAUGAAGGCCUUAGGGUCGUAAAGCCCUUUCGCCGGGGAAGAUAAUGACGGUACCCGGUAAAGAAACCCCGGCUAACUCCGUGCCAGCAGCCGCGGUAAUACGGAGGGGGUUAGCGUUGUUCGGAAUGACUGGGCGUAAAGCGCGCGUAGGCGGAUCAUCAAGUCGGGGGUGAAAUCCCGGGGCUCAACCCCGGAAUGGCCUUCGAGACUGGUGGUCUUGAGUUCGAGAGAGGUGAGUGGAAUUCCGAGUGUAGAGGUGAAAUUCGUAGAUAUUCGGAGGAACACCAGUGGCGAAGGCGGCUCACUGGCUCGAUACUGACGCUGAGGUGCGAAAGCGUGGGGGAGCAAACAGGAUUAGAUACCCUGGUAGUCCACGCCGUAAACGAUGAAUGCCAGACGUCGGGGGGCUUGCCCUUCGGUGUCACACCUAACGGAUUAAGCAUUCCGCCUGGGGAGUACGGUCGCAAGAUUAAAACUCAAAUGAAUUGACGGGGUCAUAGCU